AUAUGUAUGGCAGUACAUAUUCUAAAACUGGUACAAUAUAAAGAUUAUCGUGGCCCCUGAGCAAGGAUGACAUGUAAAUUCGUGAAGCAUUCUAUAUUUUU
rnacentral:snRNA from 1 species